rnacentral:lncRNA from 1 species
CUCGGGACAAUAUUUGCUUAUUUAUAUGUGUCCUGGACACAUUUUUCUAUGAAAAACUGUCCUCAGGUAUGAAAAAGUGUCCCUGAAAGUGGACAUAAUUAAAUACUAUACUUCAGUGAUAAGAUGUCCACUUGGACAUUUUUUCACACGACAUUUUUGUCCUCCUGGACUUUUUUUAUAUAUAUGAUUAAAUAACAUUCAUUGCUAAGUUAUAUUACUAAAUGUAU